UUUUAGAAUAGAGCGAAAUGUUUUAAAGCAUUAUACCUAUGCACGAUAAAACAUACGGAAUUUGUUUAUGUCGAAAACAUCUGAACUCUUGACGUAUCAGUAAAUUUACAACAUGCAUACCAAUAUAGGAAAUUCAAAUAUUGACGUGAAAGUGGAGAAUAUCCGAGAACUUGCGAUAUUGAUUACUGCGGAGGAUCAAUAGCCAUUAUGAUGCGGUGGUUGAUGGUCGUUGACAGUGAGUCAUAAGGGAUUUACGAGGCGGUAUAAACUACAGAACUUCUGUG